CCCUUAGAUGUCCUGGGCCGCACGCGCGCUACACUGAGUGUCUGAGAUACGAGUCUGCCUGGUCCGGCAAGGUCUAGGUAAUCGCUAAAAGACACAUCAUGCUUGGGAUAGAUUAUUGCAAAUAUUAAUCUUGAGCGAGGAAUUCCUAGUAAGCGCAAGUCAACAGCUUGCGUUGAUUACGUCCCUGCCCUUUGUACACACCGCCCGUCGCUACUACUGAUUGGAUGUUUAAGCGAGGUUCUCGAACUGCUAGCGACUUAGCUUCGGUGAGGUCGCAGUGUGGGAAGUGAACCUAGCUUUGGUGUCUAGAGGAAGUAAAAGUCGUAACA
rnacentral:rRNA from 1 species